rnacentral:tRNA from 1 species
AAUAAAGUGCCUGAUUAAAGGAUUAUUCUGAUAGGAUAAAUUAAAUAGAUUUUUCUAUCUUUAUUA